UUUACCUCCUUAACAAAAAAAUUUUGUUUUCCGUUUAACCCUUUGACUCUGUGUUGCUCUGAUAACUAUCGAGAUCGAUCUCCUCCCACUACACACUAGACGUUCCACGUGUGCUCAUGUGCUCUGACUCAACCAUAACGGCUGUGUAUUUUAUUUCUUUUUAACAAACCAACUAUAAUUAUGAAUUCGUGGGAGUUACGUGUUGCCAACGUAGUGUGUUUCGGUUUUUGUCUUUAUUGCCUUUUUGUUCUAUUCAUUUAUCAUUUACCAACACUCAUUUAGUUAAUUGGAAGUGUCAUCUCAUAUGAGAUAUUUAAAUAAAAUUGUUCUGAGGAGGGCCCCCACCAGGGCCGAAACGUUAACACGAUAAAAAGUGUUUUGAGUUGUGACCUUCAUAUCCAAGAAUAACUUUAAUCAACAAAUCUCCAAGGUCAAGAUAAAUCAUCUUCA
rnacentral:lncRNA from 1 species